AGUGAACGCUGGCGGUAGGCCUAACACAUGCAAGUCGAACGGCAGCACAGUAAGAGCUUGCUCUUACGGGUGGCGAGUGGCGGACGGGUGAGGAAUACAUCGGAAUCUACUUUUUCGUGGGGGAUAACGUAGGGAAACUUACGCUAAUACCGCAUACGACCUACGGGUGAAAGCAGGGGAUCUUCGGACCUUGCGCGAUUGAAUGAGCCGAUGUCGGAUUUGCUAGUUGGCGGGGUAAAGGCCCACCAAGGCGACGAUCCGUAGCUGGUCUGAGAGGAUGAUCAGCCACACUGGAACUGAGACACGGUCAAGACUCCUACGGGAGGCAGCAGUGGGGAAUAUUGGACAAUGGGCGCAAGCCUGAUCCAGCCAUACCGCGUGGGUGAAGAAGGCCUUCGGGUUGUAAAGCCCUUUUGUUGGGAAAGAAAAGCAGCAGGUUAAUACCCCGCUGUUCUGACGGUACCCAAAGAAUAAGCACCGGCUAACUUCGUG
rnacentral:rRNA from 1 species